rnacentral:misc_RNA from 1 species
GAAGACCCGAAGUUGUAGAUCCAAAAUCGCUGCCGCCUCUCUUCCUCUUGCGGCCCAACUUCGAGGUGCCUCUGCCAGUCGUGGAACCACCAUUCGCUGAAGAGCCUGCGGCAACAGCAACUCCGUCAGCUCCAUAACCGUCAGCUGACGUUUUCGAACUGAGGCUGAGAGAGUGAUCAGCGGUAUCGGUGGCAUGAAGAUUUGAAGAGAAGUUGUGUUUGGAGGAGUUUAGGGUUUGGAUGGAAGUGACGCAGCAAUCUUGCCAAUUGAGGUCGUUCAGG